rnacentral:rRNA from 1 species
AUACGGAGGGUCCAAGCGUUAUCCGGAUUCAUUGGGUUUAAAGGGUCCGCAGGCGGGAAAAUAAGUCAGUGGUGAAAGCCUACAGCUCAACUGUAGAACUGCCAUUGAUACUGUUUUUCUUGAGUAUAGAUGAAGUGGGCGGAAUAUAUCAUGUAGCGGUGAAAUGCAUAGAUAUGAUAUAGAACACCGAUUGCGAAGGCAGCUCACUAAACUAUUACUGACGCUCAGGGACGAAAGCGUGGGGAGCGAACAGGAUUAGAUACCCUAGUGUCC